GACAAAGUGUAUCUUUCACAUUUUUAUAUUAAAAAAGAAUGAGAUAUGUAACCCAUGAACUGUAAAUGCAAUUUUUUCUAACAUAUCGAUGUUAGAACUCGAUGAUGGAAAUCGAAAGCGACGAGAAAGGAAUCCUAAGGGCAGUCGUCGCUUUCACGCGUCGAAGAAAGGUCUUUGAGAGAAAGCAACGCGGCAUUCAUCGGCAUAAUGCUUCCUGGCUGUCCAUCUCCGUGUGCCACCAAUCAAGACAAUUUGACUCUCAAAAUAAUCCUACGAUAAUAUAAUAAUAAAUUCUCGAUCUCCGAUCGAAAGGAAAAUUCGAACUGAGCAUGCGCAGCGCGCAAGACCCGCGGAACUAGAUAACGCGCGAAAGUCGUCACGAUUCAAACACCGAAACCACUCUUGCCCAUCGCCUGACACGUUGAGAAGACUAAAAGGAAAACUUUCAAUUAACAACGUAACACCGUACACCGUUAUGCAAUUCCUACGCUGCGGUAUCGUUACACGGAUCUUUAUUGUCCUCAGACUGUAAGAACGACACGAGUCCCACUACACGUACAGCAGGCCGCGUCGAGCGAGAGUUCCCUAGCUCCUGGAGAUCCCAAACCGAGCACGUAUACACGACGUCCAUGUAUGUCUCACGAGAUGCUGGGGCAAUGCCCUAUCAAGGUUGCGUAUGUUCGCGUGUAUCGACGAACUUCCUUAUCCUACGACCGUCAUUUUUGUUGCACGACGUUUCCCCUCGUUAACGUUGCUUUAGAAAUCAG